GUCGAGAAUCUUCGGCAAUGGGCGCAAGCCUGACCGAGCGACGCCGCGUGGAGGACGACGGCCUUCGGGUUGUAAACUCCUGUCGAGGGGGAGGAAGGCGCGAUGCAGAAUCGCGCUUGACCGAUCCCUGGAGGAAGCACGGGCUAAGUUCGUGCCAGCAGCCGCGGUAAGACGAACCGUGCGAACGUUAUUCGGAAUCACUGGGCUUAAAGCGCGUGUAGGCGGGCCGGCACGUCGAGUCGCUGAAAGCCCCCGGCUCAACCGGGGAAGGGGCCUCGAUACGACCGGCCUGGAGGGGCGUAGGGGGACCGGGAACUUCCGGUGGAGCGGUGAAAUGCGUUGAGAUCGGAAGGAACGCCCGUGGCGAAAGCGCGGUCCUGGACGCCUGCUGACGCUGAGACGCGAAAGCCAGGGGAGCGAACGGG
rnacentral:rRNA from 1 species